GGAAGGUGAUGAUGAAUAAAGUUUUAAUGAUGAGGAUAGAGGAUUGGAGGAGGUUUCAAUGAUGGAAAGCUUGCUAUUACAAAGUGAAGAAUUUUAAAAGCUUUUCGGUCAUUAUUUCUUUUUAUGUUUAUGCUUUUAUUCCAGUUGAAUUUUGUUUUUACUCUUAUUUCGGUUGUAGUUCAAAACUAUUUCGGGGAUGUGUAAUUCUACUUUUUACUCUUUUUGGGAGUACCCUUUUGUCGGUGUUUACACCAAAAACUUUGAAUGUUUAAGUAAUUAUUAAGUUGUUAUUGAUUA
rnacentral:lncRNA from 1 species